UGAAAGAUCCUAAAGGUUUGGUGGUCCCAAAGGUAAAGGGAUCCCAAAGGUUUGAAGAAUCCUAAAGAUUUGGAGGAUCCCAAAGGUAAAGGGAAUCCCAAAGUUUGGUGGUCCGAAAGGCUGAAUGGAUUCCAAAGGUUUGGUGGUCCCGAAGAUAAAGGGAUCCCAAAGGUUUGG